rnacentral:rRNA from 1 species
UCCCAGUUCGGAUUGUAGUCUGCAACCCGACUACAUGAAGCUGGAAUCGCUAGUAAUCGCGAAUCAGCAUGUCGCGGUGAAUACGUUCCCGGGUCUUGUACACACCGCCCGUCACACCAUGGGAGUUGGUAACGCCCGAAGUCAGUGACCUAACCGCAAGGGAGGAGCUGCCGAAGGUGGGGCCAGUAACUGGGGUGAAGUCGUAACAAGGUACC